rnacentral:rRNA from 1 species
CCCCGUGAACCUUUACUAUAGCUUGACACUGAACAUUGAGCCUUGAUGUGUAGGAUAGGUGGGAGGCUUUGAAGUGUGGACGCCAGUCUGCAUGGAGCCGACCUUGAAAUACCACCCUUUAAUGUUUGAUGUUCUAACGUUGGCCCCUGAUCGGGGUUGCGGACAGUGUCUGGUGGGUAGUUUGACUGGGGCGGUCUCCUCCUAAAGAGUAACGGAGGAGCACGAAGGUUGGCUAAUCCUGGUCGGACAUCAGGAGGUUAGUGCAAUGGCAUAAGCCAGCUUGACUGCGAGCGUGACGGCGCGAGCAGGUGCGAAAGCAGGUCAUAGUGAUCCGGUGGUUCUGAAUGGAAGGGCCAUCGCUCAACGGAUAAAAGGUACUCCGGGGAUAACAGGCUGAUACCGCCCAAGAGUUCAUAUCGACGGCGGUGUUUGGCACCUCGAUGUCGGCUCAUCACAUCCUGGGGCUGAAGUAGGUCCCAAGGGUAUGGCUGUUCGCCAUUUAAAGUGGUACGCGAGCUGGGUUUAGAACGUCGUGAGACAGUUCGGUCCCUAUCUGCCGUGGGCGCUGGAGAACUGAGGGGGGCUGCUCCUAGUACGAGAGGACCGGAGUGGACGCAUCACUGGUGUUCGGGUUGUCAUGCCAAUGGCACUGCCCGGUAGCUAAAUGCGGAAGAGAUAAGUGCUGAAAGCAUCUAAGCACGAAACUUGCCCCGAGAUGAGUUCUCCCUGACUCCUUGAGAGUCCUGAAGGAACGUUGAAGACGACGACGUUGAUAGGCCGGGUGUGUAAGCGCAGCGAUGCGUUGAGCUAACCGGUACUAAUGAACCGUGAGGCUUAACCUU